AUGUUAUUGAUUUGCAUAAUACAUAUUCAAGAUGAAGUUGUGUAGUGACCACCACAGCCAAAUUGCCGUGCCCUAUUUCAUUAUGUGUUUAAGUUUAACCCCGUUGAACCUUGUGUAGCCUAUGUUCUUUGUUAACCCACACUAUCCUCACCUAGCCUAGAUUAGGACCAUCCAUACCCUUGUUCUUGAAGCAUAGUAAAACAUAAUUUAGAGGGAAUUCCUUUUGUUGAACUUUUGCAGAAAAACAAGUGUGGGGGAAGCGAUUCUUAUGUGUGUGUGUGCCAAAGUCCUUAAUAAGGCACGGGUAGAAAAGAAAAAGAAAAAAAAAACAUUCGUGGAAAAUAGAAUGAAAAGAAGAAAAGUUGUGAAAAAGAGCCCUAAGUGUUGCUUGAAUCUUCCAUUUGUAUUUAAAAGUUGAUUCUGCAUUCUAAAGUGAAUUCCAAAGUGUCUAUUUCAUUGCUUUGCUUGCUAUCGCUUUAAGAACAUUUGUUAUUCCUAUCCUUUCUUUAUUAGCCAAUACCCCAAGCCCCGUUACAACCCUUGACUUCUAUCUUGAGUUUUAUGUGUUUCAAUUUGUGGAGUUUGAAUUUGGUAUGAGCAUAUGGUGUCACUGGUUCUCGCAUCUAAGUAGUAGCAUUCCAUUUAUGAGAUCAUAUCUAAACAUGCUUAUUAAUACCAGAAAAUGCUUUCUUGUUAUACAUAUAUGUGAGUACUAGUUUUCAUGUUUACAUCAAUCUUCUCACAUGUACCUAGUGUAGGGUGUGUAGUCAGAAAAUCUGAGUGAAAAUUGAGUGCAUAUCUUGUAAGGAAUUGAGCAAAUUCUCUAAGCCAUGUUACUACAUUCAAAACAUCGUUUUAAUUAGUUAAAUGUGAACUAGUAAGUGGUGACUGUGAUUAAGUAUGUGCUCAAGUGUUAAGUUGACUAAAAUCUAUGGGAAUGAUGAUUUUUAACUUGUCAUGUGCGUUGGAAAUCCCUGAGGCAAACGUUGGAAGGUUUAGGUUGUGUUUUGUUUUCUUUAUUUUGCUCGAGGACUAGCAAAAGUUAAGUGUGGGGGUAUUUGAUAAGCUCAUAUUUAUAUAUAUUUUACAUAAAAUUCACUUGUCUUUUCUUAGUUAAUUCCUUAUAUUUUUGAGCUAUUUACUAUGUUUUUGUGUUUUGUGUGAUUUAUCAAGCAAAGAAAAGAAAAGUAGCACAAGUGAGAUAUUAAGUAACAAAUUCGUCAAAACUGCCUGUGCAGAUUAGCUGACUUUGGAAGCAUGUUACGAACAGCUCAGAAUGAAUAAGAGAAUGAGCCUUAUAUGGUUGGAAAGCUACGGAUGUCUAUUUUCGGGACCAAUUUACGGAUUGUUAAUAUCAUUUUUCUAGAAGAAGUUAUGGGCAUUGUAACACUGAAAGGUUCAGAAA
rnacentral:lncRNA from 1 species